CGGGACGCGUCGCUCUCGAGAGGUCCCAGAAAAGAGUCCGUCCACCACGGAGAUGGAGCGAGAUGGAUCGUGGUCAUCGCAAGACCCGAAGAUGGCGACGGCUUGGGAAUGCCUUCAGCAGUGGAUGCUGCAGGUAAAGGGCCGAGUGAGCUGUUGGACUCUUUCAUGGGCGUUCCUGCAACAUAAAACAUUGGAUAAACGGACACAUGUGGGGGACCAGCUCUGAAGUCGACAGUCACGGACUGGGACUACAAAUCAGCACCAGACAUUUGUAAACGCAUCGACUCAAAUUCGGGCUAUGGAGUAAACAGCUCGACGUUGCAAUGUGACGGACAGUCAUUGAGUGAUUAUUGCCGUGCGACCUCUUUGGACGAUUUGGAGCUGGGACCAAAAACAGGAAUGUGGCCGAUGAGGAAGAAUA